rnacentral:rRNA from 1 species
GUGCACCAGGCGAGAAACCUCCGCAAUGCGGGAAACCGCGACGGGGGACCCCGAGUGCUGUGGCAACGCCACGGCUUUUCCGGAGUGUAAAAAGCUCCGGGAAUAAGGGCUGGGCAAGGCCGGUGGCAGCCGCCGCGGUAAUACCGGCGGCCCGAGUGGUGGCCGCUAUUAUUGGGCCUAAAGCGUCCGUAGCCGGGCCCGUAAGUCCCUGGCGAAAUCCCACGGCUCAACCGUGGGGCUUGCUGGGGAUACUGCGGGUCUUGGGACCGGGAGAGGCGGGGGGUACCCCUGGGGUAGGGGUGAAAUCCUAUAAUCCCAGGGGGACCGCCAGUGGCGAAGGCGCCCCGCUGGAACGGGUCCGACGGUGAGGGACGAAGGCCAGGGGAGCAAAACCGGAUUAGAUACCCCGGGGUAGU